AGGAAGUGAGAUGCCUCUCUCGCCCAGGGGCACUGGGACACCUUUGUGGCCAUCGAAGUAACAGCUCUUCAAUUGAGUUAAAAGGUCAGGCGUGAGGGAAGAAGACCUGGCCGCCCACAGAUAUCUUUUUCAUGCACUGAAUGUCCCUGUGCGCAUCGCUUUAAAUGGAUAUUUCCUGUCUCAAUUUUGACCACCGGUUCUUCCCCCACUAACGUAUAGACGCAGCCAAUUGGCAGAGAGAGUCAGGGGGGCUCAAACGGGAGCAUCGGAAAAAGAAUCACACGUGGCGAUGGAUGAGCAGUAAUUCCAUUUCCAGGCAUCCUCGCGAAAGAAUUGAAUACAGGGGCUCAGACACGUGCUUGUACGCGAACGAUCACAGCAGCAUUCACCGCAACAGAUGAAAGGCGGAAACACCCCAUGCCCAUCAAUCAGUGAACAGAUAAACACAAUGUGAUUAUGGAAGGCAUCCUGGAGGAAGUGAUUACUCAGCUGAGCCUUGAGGAAUGUUGAAAGCUGUCCAGGUGAAGAAAUGCA